AUACGGAGGAUCCGAGCGUUAUCCGGAUUUAUUGGGUUUAAAGGGAGCGCAGGCGGAGAUGCAAGCGUGACGUCAAAUUUCGGGGCUCAACCCCGUCUCGCGUCGCGAACUGCGUCCCUUGGUUGCGGGAAGGGGAGGCGGAACUCGUGGUGUAGCGGUGAAAUGCAUAGAUAUCACGAAGAACUCCGAUCGCGAAGGCAGCCUUCCGGCCCGUCAACGACGCUCAUGCUCGAAGGUGCGGGUAUCAAACAGGAUUAGAUACCCUGGUAGUCCGCACAGUAAACGAUGGACACCCGCGGUUUGGCCUAUAUGGCUGAGCCGCCAAGCGAAAGCGUUAAGUGUCCCACCUGGGGAGUACGCCGGCAACGGUGAAACUCAAAUGAAUUGACGGGG
rnacentral:rRNA from 1 species